CUACGGGAUGCAGCAGUGAGGAAUAUUGCACAAUGGGGGGAACCCUGAUGCAGCAACGCCGCGUGGAGGAUGACGCAUUUCGGUGUGUAAACUCCUUUUAUAUGUCAAGAAAAUGACGGUAGCAUAUGAAUAAGCACCGGCUAACUCCGUGCCAGCAGCCGCGGUAAUACGGAGGGUGCAAGCGUUACUCGGAAUCACUGGGCGUAAAGGACGCGUAGGGGGGCUUGUAAGUCAGGUGUGAAAUCCUACAGCUUAACUGUAGAACUGCACUUGAAACUACGAGCCUAGAGUAUGGGAGGGGCAGAUGGAAUUAGUGGUGUAGGGGUAAAAUCCGUAGAUAUCACUAGGAAUACCUAAAGCGAAGGGGAUCUGCUGGAACAUAACUGACGCUAAGGCGUGAAAGCGUGGGAGCAAACAGGAUUAGAUACCCGUGUAGUC
rnacentral:rRNA from 1 species